rnacentral:rRNA from 1 species
AUUGAACGCUGGCGGCAUGCUUUACACAUGCAAGUCGAACGGUAACAGGCCGCAAGGUGCUGACGAGUGGCGAACGGGCGAGUAAUGCAUCGGAACGUGCCCAGUCGUGGGGGAUAACGCAGCGAAAGCUGCGCUAAUACCGCAUACGAUCUAUUGAUGAAAGCGGGGGACCGUAACGCCUCGCGCGAUUGGAGCGGCCGAUGUCAGAUUAGGUAGUGGGUGGGGUAAAGGCUCACCAAGCCAACGAUCUGUAGCUGGUCUGAGAGGACGACCAGCCGCACUGGGACUGAGACACGGCCCAGACUCCUACGGGAGGCAGCAGUGGGGAAUUUUGGACAAUGGGCGCAAGCCUGAUCCAGCAAUGCCGCGUGCAGGAAGAAGGCCUUCGGGUUGUAAACUGCUUUUGUACGGAACGAAACGGUCCUGGUUAAUACCUGGGGCUAAUGACGGUACCGUAAGAAUAAGCACCGGCUAACUACGUGCCAGCAGCCGCCGUAACAC